CCGAACUAGAACAAGUAUAUCAUCGUAAUAUGCGCAAUGACUUGGCGACGAUUUCUGUUAUCUCCGAGGGGAUUAUAAAAGCUUGGAUGUACCUACAUCAUAUUGAGUUGGCACCUCCAUAAAAAUUGGUCAAACAACGAUGUCAACACUAGUCAUUACAACUCGUGAUCUGCCGUUAAUAUAUUACCUACAUAAAAUAAUAAUAACUAUUAUAAUAUUAUGUACACAAUUAGACGGCGAAAACAUAUUACAAGAAAAAUAUCAUGUCAGUCUCAUUUCUCAAAUCCUCCAUUCAAUCUAAUAAUACGUUGGUAUAUGACAUGUGUUCGGUGCACAUUUUAUACAAUAUAAUAUAGGUACCUUGUACCCAUCUGUAUGUUUUUAAACGAUGAUCAAAUAUAUUAUUAUUUAAGUCAAAAUUAAUUGUUCAAUAGAGGCCAAUAGCUAGGGUACUUAUAAUUAUGUAAAAUACUAUAAUUGCGGUUUUUAAAGAUAUAUUUUUUUUUUCAGGUUCAGUAAAAGUACAAAUUGUUCAUGAAAUUAUACUGAAAUUCGAAAAUAUCUUACUGCACAAUACCGGACUGAAAAAUGAAUAGGAAAAAAUCAAGUUUUAUUGUUAAUUUUUCAAAUUUAGCAAGAUUAUAUAGGCAUCAUUUUGUGUACCGUACGAGUCUGAAGCAAAUAAAAAAAAAAAAUUGUCAAACAAUUGAAAAUUUACUCGGGACAAACGGUUUUUGAAAAACACAUAUUUGGAGCACAUAUCAUAUAAACCUACUGCUGUCUACUUAUAAGUUACCAUACAAGUUCCGUCGAUGCACCUUGGGUUCGUACGAUUCCAUGGACGACCGCGAUGAUGCUGUACGGGAAGUAAGUCUGUCGAAAUUAAAAUUCAGACACGGUAAGAUCACAACAAAUUAUUAUUUUUAUUGAUCCUUACGAUGAGCGUUUAUCAAACGAAUUAAAUAAUUUUGGACCGCUAUAAAAGUACCGACCACACCGCAGCCGGCGAUCGGCAAUAAAAUUCGAUUAUUUGUCAUAGUCGGCAGUGCACACAAGAAAAAGCGAUUUCUUUCCUUAAUCUUUAUUACUUCGAUUAACCAUCCGCCGCCGCGGCCGCACAUCUGUUAAUCGAUUUGACAACAUUAUAUUUAUUGAGACGACGUUAUAUUAUAACCUCCCGAUUUAUUGCCAGAGUUCUACACGUAUCAUAAUAUUCAAAACUCGAUAAAUAAUAGAAAAAUUAAAUUACGGCCAUCCGUUUUUCGAAUUUAAGAUAUCCAAUUACAUCCACUCCAUUAAUUGAAUUUGUAAUUUGUUUGCUGGUAAUAUUAAAUUAACAGUUUUAAAUGACAAAAUGACAAGAAUCUAUAAAAAAUAGAAGUAAAAAAUAUUUUGAAACCUAAGUAAUAAUUUCAUAGUCACAUUAUAAUGACAUAUUAAGAUUUAUUUACUUAAUACUUACAAUUGUUUAAAUGUUUUAUCACUCAAAAUAAUGCUGACAUAAUAGUUACUUACUUCUGUUAAGAUGAUUUAAAUGAUUUAAAAUGCAUAUAGUUUCAGUACUAUAAUAUUUGUUAUAAUCAAACAGCAAUUUUUAUGAAAUGAAUUUUACAUAGUUCUAAACGUUUGUUGGUGUAAAAAUAAAUCGAUUGAUCACAAACGUUUAAAUUAGUAUAUAAGUUGCUCAGAACUAUGACUAAAUAAUUACAAUUUUACAACAACAAAUAUAUCUAUUAUAAUAAUAAUGAUUACAAAUAUUUCGAAAUUAACAUGCUAUAAUUUUCAGUUUCAGUAAAUAUUUUUUUUUUAAAUUAAACUAUCAACUAAUUAAAAUAUUUCAACAAUUUUUCUAAUCACAAUCUCCAAUUGAUCAAAAACGAAGACUUAAAAACAAAAAUAAUAUUUUUCAAGCAACUGAUAUUAAUAUUAACAAAUUAAGUACAUCAUAUAUGUACAAUAAAUAAAGGACUUACAAGUAUAAGAAUGUACAAGACAGUAAAUGCUACUUAACAAAUCAGUGUUUUAUAUAGAGAUUCAACUAGAACAAAAAAUAAAAUAAAAUAUUGUACUUGUGAUUAAAUAAAAUUACUUAUAUGAGCUUAUUAUAAAUUUAAGUUUUAUAAAUUUUGUUUCUUGAACAGAAUAUAAAUAUAUAUGCAGUCUUUGCUUUUUGAAAAAAAUUAAACUCCUAAUAUAAUGUCUUUGAAAAUUGCCUACAUUCCAAUCAGUAAUGUAUGUAUUAUAAAUUAUAAAAUAUAUUGUAAUUAGUUAAAUAUUGUAAAUAAUAAUAAUAUAAAUAAAACAUAAUAAUUUUUUCGUUUGUUCGUUAAUGAUAAAUAGUUAUUAUAAUAUUGAAAUCAACAAGGUUGAUAACACUAAAGAAUAAUCAAGGAAA